CGUGCAGGCGGUUCUGAGAGUCGGACGUGAAAGCUCCCGGCCCAACUGGGAGAGGCCGUUCGAAACUAUGGGACUAGAGGAUGGUAGAGGCAAGUGGAAUUCCCGGUGUAGUGGUGAAAUGCGUAGAUAUCGGGAGGAACACCAGCGGCGAAGGCGGCUUGCUGGGCCAUCACUGACGCUCAGACGCGAAAGCCAGGGGAGAGAACG
rnacentral:rRNA from 1 species